UAAGAAAUAAAGGCUGCAGAAUUG
rnacentral:piRNA from 1 species